rnacentral:rRNA from 1 species
GGAGGAUCCGAGCGUUAUCCGGAUUUAUUGGGUUUAAAGGGUGCGUAGGCGGCCUAUUAAGUCAGGGGUGAAAGACGGCAGCUCAACUGUCGCAGUGCCUUUGAUACUGAUGGGCUUGAAUGCAGCUGAGGUAGGCGGAAUGUGACAAGUAGCGGUGAAAUGCAUAGAUAUGUCACAGAACACCGAUUGCGAAGGCAGCUUACUAAAGUGCGAUUGACGCUGAGGCACGAAAGCGUGGGGAUCAAACAGGAUUAGAUACCCUGGUAGUCCACGCCCUAAACGAUGAACACUCGAUGUUGGCGAUAUACGGUCAGCGUCUAAGCGAAAGCGUUAAGUGUUCCACCUGGGGAGUACGCCCGCAAGGGUG